rnacentral:rRNA from 1 species
CUGCUGCCUUCCGUAGGAGUUUGGGCCGUGUCUCAGUCCCAAUGUGGCCGUUCACCCUCUCAGGCCGGCUACUGAUCGUCGCCUUGGUGGGCCGCUACCCCGCCAACCAGCUAAUCAGACGCGGGUCCAUCUUACACCACCGGAGUUUUUAAGACGAAGUCAUGCGACUCCCUCUGUUAUGCGGUAUUAGCACCUAUUUCUAAGUGUUAUCCCCCAGUGUAAGGCAGGUUACCCACGCGUUACUCACCCGUCCGCCACUAAGAUG